UACAGAGGUGGCAAGCGUUGUUCGGAAUUACUGGGCGUAAAGGGCGCGUAGGCGGCCAUCUAAGUCAGACGUGAAAUCCCCCGGCUCAACCUGGGAACUGCGUCUGAUACUGGAAGGCUCGAGUUUGGGAGAGGGAUGUAGAAUUCCAGGUGUAGCGGUGAAAUGCGUAGAUAUCUGGAGGAAUACCGGUGGCGAAGGCGGCAUCCUGGACCGGCAUUGACGCUGAUGAGCGAAAGCUAGGGGAGCAAACGGG
rnacentral:rRNA from 1 species